ensembl:lncRNA
CCAUCUUUCAUUUUGGUCAGGUUUCACGAGUGACAGACGGAGAUUACAAAGGAACUUUGCCAAGAAUGGAGGGAACAAAGGGAAGUCCGUGAGAGGAAGCACUGGAGAGGAAACGGCUUGCGAUCCUCUUUAAUUAGAGCGCCAGAGUCUCAGGUGACCCUGAAAUGGAAAACGCUGAAGUGUUACAGAGCUGGUUACCCACAUUUGACUCGUUCACCUUGAACAAGGCUACAGUGUUUCUAUGGUGAAAACACGAGUCUGAUAUUUGUGACUUUGGUAAUGGAAGCCAAUGUCUCUCCACUUCCCUGUGUUAAAGGAAUGAUGAAGAUACAGAAAAUUAGAGUGAAAUUACCCUGGAGGAGCAUUUAUGCUAACAGAAAUUCAAGCAAGUUCCUCUCAAGAAACCUCUUUGAAUCCAGUGAUUUAGACUCAAGAGAUGCCCCCACUUUGAUUUCUAGAGACACAGUGUGAGUGCGGAAGAGAUUUGUUCUCUGAGAACACAGUGUGGGUGUCCUAUCUGCAUGCAUUAAUAAUUUUUAUGCAUGGCAUGUCUGUUGCGAGAGUUCCUGAGUUUUAGUUUCACAUGGAUAUCAAAGCACCCUUUCACCUUAAAGUCAUCCUUUACUGUGAUUAUAUCAUGUUAAUAAGCAUAUACCUUUCAGAAAGCAUCAUUCCUCCAUGUUGGCCAUA